UGCUUAUCUAACUUGCCAAUUAGUGGGGGAUAACUAUGGGAAACCAUGGCUAAUACCGCAUUUGUUGCUUUGGCAAUGAAAGGAGGUCGCAAGACUUUCGCUAAUUGAUAGGGAUAAGUCGCAUCAGUUAGUUGGUGGGGUAAUGGCCUACCAAGACUAUGACGCGUAGCCAGGCUGAGAGGCUGAUUGGCCACAAGGAACUGAGACACGGUCCUACUCCCAAGGGAGGCAGCAGUGAGGAAUUUUCCGCAAUGGGGGCAACCCUGACGGAGCAAUACUACGUGAAGGAGGAAGGUCUACGGAUUGUAAACUUCUGUUAGUGCAGAAGAAGGGCUGAAUGCAAGUUCAGUUUUGACAGUAUGCACAGAGAAAGCCACGACUAACUACGUGCCAGCAGUCGCGGUAAGACGUAGGUGGCGAACGUUAUCCGGAAUUAUUGGGCGUAAAGGGUGCGUAGACGGCAUGAUAAGUUAUUGGCGGGAAAUCGAGGCUCAACCUCGUGGAAACUGAUAAUACUGUUUUGCUUGAGUACAGGAGAGGUUAACGGAACUCCAUGUGGAGCGGUAAAAUGUGUAGAUAUAUGGAAGAACAUCAAUAACGGCGAAGGCAGUUAACUAUUCUGUUACUGACGUUGAGGCACGAAAGCGUGGGGAGCAAAACGGAUUAGAUACCCGUGUAGUCCACGCCCUAAACGAUGAGUGCUAGAUAUUGGGAACUUGAUUCUCAGUGUCGCUAGUUAACACGGUAAGCACUCCGCCUGGGUAGUACGCUCGCAAGAGUGAAACUCAAAGGAAUUGACGGGGACUCGCACAAGCAGUGGAGCAUGUGGUUUAAUCCGAUACGACGCGUAGAACCUUACCAAGGCUUGACAUGUUGGGCAAAGCUAGGGAAACCUAGUGGAGGUUAUCCUAACACAGGUGCUGCAUGGCCGUCGUCAGUUCGUGCCGUGAGGUGUAUGGUUAAGUCCUAUAACGAACGUAACCCUUGGACUUAGUUGCCAGCAUUUAGUUGGGGACUCUAAGUCGACUGCCUGAGCAAUCAGGAGGAAGGAAAGGAUCAAGUCUGGUCAUC
rnacentral:rRNA from 1 species